rnacentral:lncRNA from 1 species
UCAGGAGUUGGACACGUCGAGAAGAAUUAGUAACAGCAUCAACCAUUGAGAAAGUUGUGAAGACAUUGAUGGGCACGACGGAAGGGGAAGAGAUGAGGCAAAGGGCAGUGGAAUUGAGCAAAAAGAUCAAGAGCUCUGUCCGCGAUGGAGGACCUGCACGCAAGGAAAUGGAAUCUUUCAUUGCAAAUAUUAUCAAAUAACUUCCUGCUUGUGUGUGUGUGUGUGUGAUGAUUGUGGGGGGUGUCUGUCUCCUAUGAUAUAGUAUCCUUAAAAUUAGUGAAGGUAGGUUGAAUGUCCUUCCGAUUUGUUCUCUAAGUUCUAUUUCUCCUCCCUUGGAAUAAACUUGAUAGCAAAAGCCAGAAGUCAUAUAUGGCUAAUAUGAGUGUAUCAGAUAUGUUCAAUCUUCAUAUCCUUAUAGUGAAAUUGAACUGUUUUAAGAACAUCGUAGCAGGGUCAAUUUCACAUAUGGUCACUAAAGUUUACCCAUUCUGUAUCAGUAAAGUCACAAUACUAUUGUUCGUCUCACUAAAGUCACUUAAUUGUAAUUCAAUGCCACUUCAGUAGACUCAAGUUGAUCAAUUCUGUGUUGGACUCGUCGCCUACUUAUGUCAUGUCUCUUCCCCAUUCCAACUAAAGUGUCCAAAAAGUUGGACACAGCCAGACAGACCGUGGGUGCACUAAUGUUGUAUCUAGUCCAUAUGGAACCUCAGUGUGGAGAAAGAUCAGGAACAUUAUUAGACGAGUUAACAGAAUUGAUUGAGGUAGAUGAAUUAGGAGAAUUAUGUAAAAUCACCUCAAAGAGUGUCGGCAGAGAACAGGAAUCCUAGAACAGAUCAAUUGAGACUCCCUCCACAGUCCAUUGAUGAUCUCUGAGUACUUGUUCUGAUUGUUCUUAAAACUUUGAGAGAAAGACGGAAAGAUUGAGCGACCAGAUGGGUUUGAAGAGAGAGUGAAAGGAAGAGGAAUGGUGGUAAAUUGGGCACCGCAGUUGGAAAUCUUGAGGCAUCCAUCUACGGGGGCUUUUUAGAGUCACUGCGGGUGGAAUUCUUGAAUCGAGAGCAUGAGCAUGGGAGUGCCUCUAGCAACUUGGCCGGUCAGUUACGAUCAGCCAUUUAACGCUAUUUCUGUAACCAAUUUGCUAAAGAUCGGAAUACCUGUCAAGUGUUGGUCUCACCGGGAGGAAUUGGUAACAGCAUCAACCAUUGAGAAAGCUGUGAAGACAUUGAUGGGCACGACAGAAGGAGAAGAGAUGAGGCAAAGGGCAUUUACAUUGAGCAACAAGAUCAAGAGCUCUGUUAGCGAUGGCGGACCAGCACGCAAGGAAAUGGAAUCUUUCAUUUCAACUAUUAUCGAAUGACCUUCCUAAUUUGUUGUCUUUCUAGGACAAGGAAACAACCUAUUUCUACCAAAAUUAAAAUAACUAAUUAGUUUCCUACCAAAGAUAGGACUCCUAAUUUAACUAGGAUUGUACGUAAAAAAUAUGCUGGAG